rnacentral:rRNA from 1 species
UACGAAGGGGGCUAGCGAUGUUCGGAAUUACUGGGCGUAAAGCGCACGCAGGCGGAUUUAUAAGUCAGGGGUGAAAUCCCGGGGCUCAACCUCGGAAUUGCCCUUGAUACUGUCUAUCUUGAGUGCGGGAGAGGUGAGUGGAAUUCCUAGUGUAGAGGUGAAAUUCGUAGAUAUUAGGAAGAACACCAGUGGCGAAGGCGGCUCACUGGCCCGGUACUGACGCUCAUGUGCGAAAGCGUGGGGAGCAUACAGG